rnacentral:rRNA from 1 species
UACGUAGGGUGCGAGCGUUAAUCGGAAUUACUGGGCGUAAAGCGUGCGCAGGCGGCCUCUUAAGUCAGAUGUGAAAGCCCUGGGCUCAACCUGGGAACGGCAUUGGAAACUGGCUUACUAGAGUGCGGUAGAGGGGUGUGGAAUUCCCGGUGUAGCAGUGAAAUGCGUAGAUAUCUGGAGGAACACCGGUGGCGAAGGCGGCAUCCUGGACCAUUACUGACGCUGAGGAGCGAAAGCCAGGGGAGCAAACGGG